CUAUAAUAUUCCCUUGUGUGUAAUGAAUCGGAUAUCGCAGCACAUUGCACAUUUUGUUUGUGUGUACUCUGUGUGUGUGUGUGUGUGUGUGUGUGUGUGUGUGUGUGUGUUAUUACUGUAUAGACUCUCAUGUAAGAAAUUCACAUGUAAUAGUUAGUCAGAGACGAACAAGGUAAAGAGAGAUUGGGAGUGACAGUUUUCUUUCCUUACUUUAGUGAAAACAUUUUGAAAUGAUUUCUAUGACUGAAAGCAGAAUCAUGACAAAUCUGCAAUCAGACUGCGCCUCAUCUCAGCCAGGGUGACGCUGAUUUUGGUUUGUUUGUUCAGUUUGGUACUGUAAUGUGAGAAUCAGGAGCACUAGCACCUUCCAUCUCAUCGUAUAUCUCCCUGAACAGAAGCAUGAGUGUUGGAUACAGUCGGCGGAAUACCAUUCAUUGAUUUUUGAUGCUACUUUGGGAUCAUGAUGCUACUUUGCAAACUUCAAAACAAAACAAAGGAAACCAAAGAGCAUGUUCACGUGUGAGUUAACUAAACCAGUGCAAAUAAAGGUCAGGUGAAUGAUUCAUUGAGACUGAUUGUAUGUACCAUUAAUCAUGAUGAGCUUUUACUUGUCGUGUAAUAUUUGAAAGUCUUUAAAUAAAUGAGAGAAAAAUAUUAUGAAACAGUUUCAGACAGUGUAAUUCCUCAAA